rnacentral:lncRNA from 1 species
CACGUUUCAGAUUUUAUAUUUGAGCACAAUCUUUGAUUUUUUUUUUGUACAGAGCUCUUCAGAUGUCAUUUGGCCACAUAAUUUUGCAAGCACCUAAAACAUUUGCUCAUAAUUCUGCAAGCGCCAUGUCAUUAUUCUGCAAAGUUUCAGAAUGUUUUGAUUUUUUUUUCUUGAUUGUGUGUGUACCUGGGGUGCAAUGUCCAUGGGUGUAGAACAGCCACAAUCUUUUCUCAUAGUAUUACCAGUAUAUCUUCCGGUUUAUUUCAUUAUCAUGCAUGGAGCUGCUUGGAUACCAGUGAAUUUGUAGGGGAAGAAAAGGAGGAUCCAUGAGCUGCAUAUCUGAUUAAAUUCAGUCAGAAGAUGGAGACUUGAAGGAAGGAUUAGCGGAGAAUGGGAAGGUGAAUAAAACAGGGAAACCAAUCAAAUACAUGUAGGUAUGACCUGUUGCUUUUUGUAAUCUCUUGUGGAUGUCAAUAUUUUUCUACAGUUACAUAUAUAAAUUAAGGGGAAACUUUGAUUAGGUACACCAUAGAAUAGUGUCACUUCUUGGUUUAUUUAUUACUCUCUUUUAAUAUCAACCAACAUGCUUGUCAACUUUAUAAUUUGUUAUUUGCUUAUCUCACUGCAAUAUUCUCCUGAGAGAUUUGUACGUGUACUCGGACAGAAACACUCCCCUACCUGAGGUCUUGGUUUACGUACUGCUGUUGAUUUCUUGUGUCACUCCUGAUACUCAGCUUGCUUCCAUUUGCCAAGAAGAUAAACUUGAUAAAAUGCAACAAUUUAGUUACUUCCAGAUUUUGUAUUUUGUGAGAAGCAAGUACCUGGCACAUGUGAACAAAAGGAUCUUAUCUCAGGUAAUAGGCUAGGAAGUUUUAUUUAAGAUAUCAUCCGUGUCAACGAAAAAUAGUACUACACGUGUGAAUAAACGGCACCUAUAUAUGAGAUACAAAGUACUCCAAUAAAAUUGGAGGGUUGGGGGAGUGUUGGUCUGGAGCCUCGCCCCCAUGCGGUAUGCUCUGUCCAAGUAUGUGCUCCUGUUCGCCGCAUCUACAUACUUGAUGAAGCGUGUUUGCUAAUUGCGAAGUAUGUGCAAGUCAGCAGUGAACAGUUUGUAUUGUUGUUUUCUAUGUUCUAGAAAAGUAAGUUUCAGCAGUUUCCACGACAUUUCAUGUCUGUUCCAUGUAGUAGUGUAUGCGGGAAUUAUAUUGAUGAUUUCAUUUUACCUUCAUAUCUGCUUAAUUUUCUUACCAAACACAGAAGUUUUAUGUCUUGAUGUGUUCAUAGAAGCGAAGAUAUAACUCAUGAUGGAAGCCUAAUACGCUGAUAAUGUUUUUACGGUUCAAUGUUCCUAUGAGGGGAGUGGGUGGGGACGGCAAUGAGUGUCUUAGCAUAUCAAGCAGUUGCCGCCUAUGAGGGGAGUGAGUGGAGAUUGCCAGAUCUGUGCGGCGGAGGGGCGAUGGAAGCUCGAAUGGAAGAUUUCUCGCCAGCAUCGGAGCAAUUUAUUGGCCGGAUCGACCAUAAAGUUCCUACAUGGACGUGAAGGCACGUCAUUAUUAAGAAGUUCAAUCUUUGGAAAUUCUGCAUGUGACACUGUAAAAAUAGAAAGAAGCUAGAAAAUUGUCUCAGGCCGAUUUCGUAUGUAGGUGUGAGCAUUGCUAAUUUCUGUCAACAUGAGAUCUGGACUAUUUAUAUAGCUACCAUGUGCCCAACAAAUUGUCUGAUAAUGUAACACUCCUGAAUAGAUUGAUGUAUGAUAAGCACAUGUGUUAAUUUUGGAGCAGAUGAUAGAUUGUCAGUUGUGCUGAAUUGAUAUUUAAUGACUAUUCAUAUCAAAGUUUUAAAUAGCCCGCUAUAGGCCAGCUAUAGCGUGUCUAUAACGGUUUGAUCAGCGAG